AGCGGCGGACGGGUGAGUAACGCGUAGGAAUCUACCUGGUAGUGGGGGACAACUUGGGGAAACUCAAGCUAAUACCGCAUACGCCCUAUGGGGGAAAGCGGGGGACCUUCGGGCCUCGCGCUAUCAGAUGAGCCUGCGUAGGAUUAGCUAGUUGGUGAGGUAAAGGCUCACCAAGGCGACGAUCCUUAGCUGGUCUGAGAGGAUGAUCAGCCACACUGGGACUGAGACACGGCCCAGACUCCUACGGGAGGCAGCAGUGGGGAAUAUUGCGCAAUGGGGGCAACCCUGACGCAGCCAUGCCGCGUGUGUGAAGAAGGCCUUCGGGUUGUAAAGCACUUUAAGUGGGGAGAAAAGGGUAGCGGUUAAUAGCCGUUACCUGUGAUGUUACCCACAGAAUAAGCACCGGCUAACUCCGUGCCAGCAGCCGCGGUAAUACGGAGGGUGCGAGCGUUAAUCGGAAUUACUGGGCGUAAAGCGCGCGUAGGUGGUUUGUUAAGUCAGCUGUGAAAGCCCCGGGCUCAACCUGGGAACUGCAGUUGAUACUGGCCGACUAGAGUACGAGAGAGGGAGGUAGAAUUCCAUGUGUAGCGGUGAAAUGCGUAGAUAUAUGGAGGAAUACCGGUGGCGAAGGCGGCCUCCUGGCUCGAUACUGACGCUGAGGUGCGAAAGCGUGGGGAUCAAACAGGAUUAGAUACCCUGGUAGUCCACGCCGUAAACGAUGUCUACUAGC
rnacentral:rRNA from 1 species